GGUUAAAAAUUUCAUCUAUUUGUACUGUUUUAACCAGACAUUACUGACAAAAUAAUUAAAUCGUAGCACAUGGUGUGCCAUAUGUAUCUCAUAUUAAUAUACAGAGACAAGUUUUUAAUAGUAAAAAUGAACAAAAUUUUUAACA
rnacentral:pre_miRNA from 1 species